GAGAUGAUAUAAAUAUGAUACACGUGAACAAAAUAGAGUAAUCAUAACAUACCCCGAGAACAACUUUUAAGGCUUUAUCUACAACUUGUUUAGGAUUGCAGUUCAUUAUCCAUGUUGUGAAACGACAAAACCUCGGAGUACAUCAUGACCUUCCAAGUCUCCACAGGUAAAUCAUUAUCUUGGAAUGACCAGUCAAAAACUUCAUCAGCAACAGGCUCAUCAGUAGGAUCAUGGUAUGGAGCAAGAUAGUUAUGAGCCAAAGCAUCAGCAGCACUAAUACGCUUACGAGGAUCAAAGACAAGCAUUUUUUCUAACAGAUCAAUAGCAUCUGGAUCGGCGUUUUUGAACUUUUCAGCAAAAGGAACUUUCUCCUUUUGAGGCAAUGAUUGAACAAAGCGAAGUGUGUUUUUACUGCAAAUCGUCUCAAUUACUUCCAUAGGCGGCGUUCCCAACAAUUCCGUGAUUAUAGAAAACUGGUUAACGUGGUCUCGGCCGGGAAACAAGGGUUUUCCUUCAAUCAUCUCAGCAAAAAUACAACCCGCACUCCAAAUAUCAACUUCGACGUUGUACUUUUGCCAAGUUAACAUAAUCUCAGGUGCACGGUAAUAACGAGUAGAAACAUAGCCCGUCAUUUGAGGGUCUUGAAUACGAGCCAAACCGAAAUCGCAGAUUUUUAAAUCGCAAUUUUCGUUAAUUAAGAUGUUACUGGGUUUCAGAUCACGGUGAAUAACACCGGCAGAAUGAACAAACUUGAGCCCUCGCAAGAUUUGGUAUAAGAAGUAUUGUAUAAAUUGCGUCUCUAAAGGUCGCGAUGUAAGUAGUCUAUGAAGAUCUGUUCCCAGAAGCUCCGUGACAAAAUAAAUAUCUUCAAAGGGAGAAAUAAAAAUAUCGCUCAAGCUAAUAAUAUUCUCAUGCCUUAAAUGCUUUAAUAGUUUUAAUUCCCGAUAGGUACGUUUUGCCAGUACCGGAGUACUAAAGGGUUUCAUAAUUUUCUUAACAGCGACAUUCAUUCCAGUUAGCUGAUCCUUCGCUGAACAAACGAGGCCAAAGGCGCCCAUGCCAAUCGGCUGUAAGUCGCUAUAUCUAGUGGUAAUUUCAAAACAUGUACCGAAUAUUUGUGUACGAAUAAAUUCUGCCAUUUUAUUCAAACUGGUUACAAAAAGGACUAUUCAACAAUAAUCUCAAAAAUUUAAGCGUCCUUCGUCUAUAUCGAAAAGUAACUUUCUCUUCUUUUUACAAGUUCCCAACAACGCUGCGAAGUGCCAAGCUUUAUAAUAAUUACGAUAACAAUCGUCGGUAUCGGACCUCGUAUUCCGUUAAACAGAUUGUGGUGUUUGCUUGUAAUAAGCAAUGAAGUGCUCUGGUUAAGUUGUGGUAAGGAGGUAUGUAGCUGUGAUUAAGUGCACACCGCACUACAGUGAACUUGCGCUUCAGCAUCCAGAACCUCAAAGAAUGAAGUUCCGCCGGUUUAACGAUGUUUUUAAAAUGUAUUAAACAAUUUAAAGUACUACUACUUUUGAUAACAACUGACGACGAUAAACACCAAAGUGACCACUCCUUCUACUCUUACCAAGGCUUUGUUGUCCAGAUCUGAGAUGGGUUAGUUGGUAAAGUUGUUAAGCCAGCUUUAUUAGAUCAACUUUUUUAGCUAUUUGAGCUAGUAUUCAUUAUUGAAAUGUGUGUUUCAAGGAAAAAGUCUUGUAAGCUAACCCAAUUUGUCUUUUGACAACAGUUACUGUUGAAAAACCCGUUCAAUUAUAGAUCUGACAUUUCAUUUGAUCCAUAAUGCUCGAUUUCGUAGUUAAUUUGCUUGUUUGCCUCUAUUAGCCCAGCGUCCGCGUUUUGAUUUCUUAGCGAGUUGUUAAUAUUAUGGUUUCACGAUUAGGCAUUAAUCGGGUCUGUACCUUCCACAUUUUGGGACGAAAUAACCAAGGAUAAUUAGGUGCAACAAGUCAUUUUCCAUUUCAAUUUUCCUUUUACUUUAUUAAAAAAUUUUUAAUUAAAAAAGUUUGGACAAAUACCAUUUAAAGUCUACGAGGAAAUAGGACACAAUACUACGUUAAAUGUAUGUUUCAAUAAAAAAUCAAUUCAAUAAAAGGACAAAAAUUAAAAGAAGGGAAAAUCGAAAAAAAAAAGAAUGUGAUGCCGAAAUUACCAUACGGCUCAGUGAGCAGAUAGACUAAAGAUACGUAUUAUAUGGAAUUCUUCGCCAAAGAUACAUGCAAAAUGUAAUAAAAGUUAUAUAUAUACAUAUAUGAUAGACUUAUACCAAAUUGCUUCCAUGGCGGAGAUAACCAAACGGGGUAAAAACAGAGUACUUUUAAAAUAUAGACCAGAUUAAAAAGAAUGAAAUUAUGCCUUCAUAAAUUUGAUGCAAAUGAACCCAAUACGAUGAGUGCUAACGCGUUAUUCUUAGCGCAAAUUGUUCGGAAGAAAAUAAAAAAACAUAACGUGAUCCCCAAAAGAAUGCUUAAUAAUGAGUCAGUAGAAUUCAAAUCAAUAAAAGUUUAACACGACAAUGCUUUUAUAAUGAUAAAGGAAUGAGGAAAACUGUGGCUCCGAAAGAGAGGUCUACGAUUUCAUGCGAGAAGUUCCACGAGCUAGCGGAAAGCGACGCAUCGCAUUAG
rnacentral:lncRNA from 1 species